rnacentral:tRNA from 2 species
GCCGGGGUAGCUCAGCCAGGUGGAGCGCCCGGCUGUUAACCGGGUGGUCCCGGGUUCGAAUCCCGGCCCCGGCGCCA